GGGGUCGUGGGGUAAUCUGGCAUCCUAGCGGGCUCCAGACCUGCCGAUGGGGGUUCAAAUCCCUCCGGCCCCA
rnacentral:tRNA from 1 species